AAGACGAGGAUAACAGUUGGAAACGACUGCUAAGACUGGAUAGGAGAUAAGAAGGCAUCUUUUUAUUUUUAAAAGACCUAGCAAUAGGUAUGCUUAGGGAAGAGCUUGCGUCACAUUAGUUAGUUGGUGGGGUAAUGGCCUACCAAGACGAUGAUGUGUAGCCGGGCUGAGAGGUCGAACGGCCACAUUGGGACUGAGACACGGCCCAAACUCCUACGGGAGGCAGCAGUAAGGAAUUUUCGGCAAUGGAGGAAACUCUGACCGAGCAAUGCCGCGUGAACGAUGAAGUAUUUCGGUACGUAAAGUUCUUUUAUUAGGGAAGAAAAGAUGGUGGAAAAACCAUUAUGACGGUACCUAAUGAAUAAGCCCCGGCUAACUAUGUGCCAGCAGCCGCGGUAAUACAUAGGGGGCAAGCGUUAUCCGGAAUUAUUGGGCGUAAAGGGUGCGUAGGCGGUUAAAUAAGUUUAUGGUCUAAGUGCAACGCUCAACGUUGUGAUGCUAUAAAAACUGUUUAGCUAGAGUUGGAUAGAGGCAAGUGGAAUUCCGUGUGUAGUGGUAAAAUGCGUAAAUAUACGGAGGAACACCUGAAGCGAAGGCGGCUUGCUGGGUCUUAACUGACGCUGAGGCACGAAAGCGUGGGGAGCAAACAGGAUUAGAUACCCUGGUAGUCCACGCCCUAAACGAUGAGUACUAAACGUUGGAUAAAACCAGUGUUGAAGUUAACACAUUAAGUACUCCGCCUGAGUAGUACGUACGCAAGUAUGAAACUUAAAGGAAUUGACGGGACUCCGCACAAGCGGUGGAUCAUGUUGUUUAAUUCGAAGGUACCCGAAAAACCUCACCAGGUCUUGACAUGCUUUUGCAAAGCUGUAGAAAUACAGUGGAGGUUAUCAGAAGCACAGGUGGUGCAUGGUUGUCGUCAGCUCGUGUCGUGAGAUGUUGGGUUAAGUCCCGCAACGAGCGCAACCCUUGUUGUUAAUUGCCAUCAUUAAGUUGGGGACUUUAGCAAGACUGCCAAUGAUAAAUUGGAGGAAGGUGGGGACGACGUCAAAUCAUCAUGCCCCUUAUGACCUGGGCUACAAACGUGAUACAAUGGCUGUUACAAAGGGUAGCUAAAGCGUAAGCUUCUGGCGAAUCUCAAAAAAGCAGUCUCAGUUCGGAUUGAAGUCUGCAACUCGACUUCAUGAAGUUGGAAUCGCUAGUAAUCGCGAAUCAGCAUGUCGCGGUGAAUACGUUCUCGGGGUUUGUACACACCGCCCGUCAAACCACGAAAGUUGGCAAUACCCAAAGCCGGUGGCCUAACUUGAGCAAUCAAGAAGGAGCCGUCUAAGGUAGGGUUGAUGAUUGGGGUUAAGUCGUAAUAAGGUAUCC
rnacentral:rRNA from 1 species